CACGUACAACAGUCAAAAAGAAAGAACUGUGGGAGUCGAAGAGAGAGGUUAAGAGAGAAAUGAUAGCGGUGGUUAAAUGGAGAGGACGGAAAUGAAUGGCAAAAGAGAAUAAAGGUAUCAUCAUCGGUACAGAAAGGGCAUAUCGAUCCUCUCGUCUCUCGUUUUCUGUAUCGUCAGUCCCUAGCGCAGUGGGAGCUCAAGCUACACAAGCUGCCGAGAGAGAGAGAGAGAGAGAGCAGCUGCGUUGCAAAGGGGUCAACUCUUAAUCGAAACAUUGGGCUCAUCUGUUUCGGCAAGAGUUCUUGUGGAAUGCUGCUCUUCUCAGAACUUUUCCUCUAGCUCGCCAUGCUAAGAGAUGGCCAGGGCCUAUUCCUCAAGGCUUGAGCAAAAGGAGAUAUGCUGCACUGUAUGUCAGCAAACAUAUCUUUUCUCUGGGUGAAGAAGUGGACGACGAGAUUGUUGGUCAUGUCUAUUUAUUUCUCAAAGAGCAGCUUGAAAUUUCGAAAAUGCCACCUUUGUCUGGAGUACUUCAUGGAACCAUCAUAGGUACAGUCUCAUUAAUGACCUACAUUUCUGCUAUUCCUCUUUUCUUUUGAUGGACCUCUUGCUGUUUCUUAUAUUAAGAGAUCCAAAGAGAUACUUCAGAUGUGAGGAUUUCAGUAUGACAAUCUUGGCCUGGCUUUCUUAUUUCCUGAAAGCUUUAGCACUUCCAUGUGCAAAGGAAAUCAUGUUCUUUGUUGUUUUUUUCUCAUUCAUAAACAAGAGACUUUAUUGCCAAAAGGUUAUAUUAGUGGGAAAAGGAACUAGGUAGAAAAUCAGCAUAAUCCUUUUCUGGCAAGGGAAAUGUUAAGAACCAUUGCACGAAAGAAUAAUAGCAAAAAGACUCAGCCUUGAUAGGUCACACCAUUGUCUUUAGUUCGAAAACCGGUAGGACUCUGCACUAGGUAUUAUUUUUUGAUGUUUUCACAACAGAAUAAAGCUAAUAGAAGGUUAACAUAUCAUCAAAAUUUGAAGUACAAAAUAAAUUGUUUCUGAAACAUGGUGUGUUACACCACUAAUGUAUAAAGUUGAGGUAAAGGUAAAUGGAUAAAGAAGAUACAAAAAGCUUCCUAAUCUUCAUUUGGUGAAAGGCCAUUGCAGUUACCACCAUGAGGACUACGGCGUCCGCUACUUAAAAACAUGCCAAGUUCCGAGUUGCAUCAUUUACUCUGAUAUCUGCUUCUGUAUAUAAUAGAGAGCACAGUCCUUAAGCUGAUAAUUGCAGGAAAUCUUAAUAUUUCAUCUCAAACCAAUGAAGUAAGGUGCAGGUAUUAUCAGUCUAAUCAAGACUCAAGUACAUAGCAACUUCAGAUGGUAGGUUUCUUUGAAGUGUGUCUUAAGUUUCCUUGGCUUUACUUGAGCUUUGAUUUGGACAGCAUAAUGCCCAACCGAUUAGGCACAUGUCUUUGCUGGUAGAGAUUUAAUGCCUCUUCUCUAUUGAGCUCGAAACUUCCAAACUCUGGAUGUUAAGUUUUCCUUGAUAUCAAUUGACUUCAUUUUCUCUUAUUAAGAGUGGGGAUAUUUGGAAAGAGAUACAAUAUCGGGUAUCCUCUCUGGAUUUUGAACAGAUCUAAGGUGGGGUGGUAGCGCCUGCUUUAUUUCAUGUGUUUUGAAUUUAUAUACCGGUCUGAGAAAAGUUAGCUCAGAAUAUGUUGGAGUCGGCUACAGAAAUUCUCUAUAUCAAUUCUGUCCAUUUGAACCUGUGUCAUUCUAAUACUCAACAAUAUAUCUUUUAGGAGUAAGGUUUUUUUAAUGAGUAGAGGUUCUCUGCAUCUCACAAUUAUCCCUGCACUGUGUAGAAACCUCGGAAAAGAAUUAAAUAAACCCUUGGCUAAAACCAAACCAAUGUACAAUAUUGCUACAUUGGAAGGAGCCGCUACAGCCAUUCAAACUGUUCCAAAAUACCCUUCAGAAAUGAAUAUAAAAUAAAAGGCGGAGAAGGGGUCAUUGGAACAACAAUAUGAUUGUGCUAUAUUCUUGUGGAACUAGUGAGAUUGGAAGAAACUAUGUGCAUCAGAGCCCAGAAGGAGCUACUUGCUUGAACAGUUACGGCUUUAACUGAUUGAUGCUAUUACGUAUAGAAUAUCAGCUUAUCGGCUGCCUUGCAGAUUACUAUGGCUAGCCCGACAAUGAAGCUGUACCACUUCUUUUGCUUGUGAAGGAACACUCGGAAAUUAGAUAGCGUACCUUUGAGCAGGAAAAGUGACGCCAUGGAGAAACUACGGAUCAUGCCAUAAUUUAUUUAGGCUUUAUUUCUUACUUUUUAAGUUAAAUUUACCUCUUUUAUGGCUUCUCUGUCAUUCUGAAACAGAAAUAUGAAGUUAUGCAGCAGACACUUAUAAAAAAGAAAUUAUGCAACAUACAUGAGAUCUUCCAGUGAGAUCUGAUAUCAGUUCAAAAAUCCAGGGCAAACAAGCUUAUGAAGUGGCUUUGAUAUCACAAUCCCUUGAGGAGUAUUUGGAGAAGGAACACUUUUUUUAAUCUGUACUUGUAUAGACUCAAAAGACUAUGUUUGGUUGUGCUGUUCUUCUGUGUAGAUGCACUGCAUGUCUAUAUUAUAGGUGUCAAGUCAGAAACUAACUUUGAUAUGGCCCCAUCGAUUGGAAUUAAGUGUGGAUCUAUUUAGUGUUUAA